rnacentral:rRNA from 1 species
GACGAACGCUGGCGGCGUGCUUAACACAUGCAAGUCGAACGGAGAGGCCCUGCUUUUGUGGGGUGCUCGAGUGGCGAACGGGUGAGUAACACGUGAGUAACCUGCCCUUGACUUUGGGAUAACUUCAGGAAACUGGGGCUAAUACCGGAUAGGAGCUCCUGCUGCAUGGUGGGGGUUGGAAAGUUUCGGCGGUUGGGGAUGGACUCGCGGCUUAUCAGCUUGUUGGUGGGGUAGUGGCUUACCAAGGCUUUGACGGGUAGCCGGCCUGAGAGGGUGGCCGGCCACAUUGGGACUGAGAUACGGCCCAGACUCCUACGGGAGGCAGCAGUGGGGAAUAUUGCACAAUGGGCGGAAGCCUGAUGCAGCAACGCCGCGUGCGGGAUGACGGCCUUCGGGUUGUAAACCGCUUUCGCCUGUGACGAAGCGUGAGUGACGGUAAUGGGUAAAGAAGCACCGGCUAACUACGUG